rnacentral:rRNA from 1 species
ACGAGUUUGAUCAUGGGCUCAGGAUNAACGCUAGCGCAGGCCUAACACAUGCAAGUCGAGGGGUAGAGUUCUUCGGGACUUGAGACCGGCGCACGGGUGCGUAACGCGUAUGCAAUCUACCUUAUACAGGGGAAUAGCCCAGAGAAAUUUGGAUUAAUGCCCCAUAGUGUUAUCGAAUCGCAUGGUUUGAUAACUAAAGUUCCAACGGUAUAAGAUGAGCAUGCGUCCCAUUAGUUAGUUGGUAAGGUAACGGCUUACCAAGACAAUGAUGGGUAGGGGUCCUGAGAGGGAGAUCCCCCACACUGGUACUGAGACACGGACCAGACUCCUACGGGAGGCAGCAGUGAGGAAUAUUGGUCAAUGGGCGCAAGCCUGAACCAGCCAUGCCGCGUGCAGGAAGACGGUCCUAUGGAUUGUAAACUGCUUUUAUACAGGAAGAAACCCUCCCACGUGUGGGAGCUUGACGGUACUGUAGGAAUAAGGAUCGGCUAACUCCGUG